GUGGGGAAUAUUGGGCAAUGGGGGAAACCCUGACCCAGCGACGCCGCGUGAGGGAAGACGGCCUUCGGGUUGUAAACCUCUUUUGUACGGGAAGAAGGAAGUGACGGUACUGUACGAAUAAGUCCCGGCUAACUACGUGCCAGCAGCCGCGGUAAUACGUAGGGGACGAGCGUUGUCCGGAAUUACUGGGCGUAAAGGGCGCGCAGGCUGUGCUGCAAGUCAGCUGUGAAAGGUCUGGGCUUAACCCGGGCAUGCGGUUGAGACUGCAGUGCUGGAGUGCUGUAGAGGCAAGUGGAAUUCCCAGUGUAGCGGUGAAAUGCGUAGAUAUUGGGAAGAACACCGGUGGCGAAGGCGACUUGCUGGGCAGCAACUGACGCUGAGGCGCGAAAGCCAGGGGAGCAAACGGGAUUAGAUACCCGUGUAGUCC
rnacentral:rRNA from 1 species